rnacentral:rRNA from 1 species
AACGAACGCUGGCGGCAGGCUUAACACAUGCAAGUCGAACGCCCCGCAAGGGGAGUGGCAGACGGGUGAGUAACGCGUGGGAAUCUACCCUGAACUGCGGGAUAGCUCCGGGAAACUGGAAUUAAUACCGCAUGUGCCCUGAGGGGCAAAGAUUUAUCGGUUCAGGAUGAGCCCGCGUCCGAUUAGCUAGUUGGUGGGGUAAAGGCCUACCAAGGCGACGAUCGGUAGCUGGUCUAAGAGGAUGAUCAGCCACAUUGGGACUGAGACACGGCCCAAACUCCUACGGGAGGCAGCAGUGGGGAAUAUUGGACCAUGGGCGCAAGCCUGAUCCAGCCAUGCCGCGUGAGUGAUGAAGGCCCUAGGGUUGUAAAGCUCUUUCACCGGGGACGAUAAUGACGGUACCCGGAGAAGAAGCCCCGGCUAACUUCGUG